rnacentral:lncRNA from 1 species
ACACCUGGAGCUUCAGGGACUUCCUGUCAGCAGAAGGUCCUCAAGUCACCACACAGCUAUUCAGUCACCUCCACGGGAACAAGAAGAACACAUUGUGGGGCCGGGCCGUGGGGUGGGAGACACAACAGCGCACUGCCUCUUCUGUUACCAGAAAUGCCUCUGAUCUAAGGAUGCACAGCAACACUGGGCCAGACUGUUGAGGCGUUGUGAAGAGUGAACCCUCCCUGCUCUGCAUCAAAAGGCCUCGGGUCACUGACAUUGGGUUAAAAGGGCUGCCAGGAGAAAUGUUUAGCCCAGAAAAUCAUCCAGCGCUCGGCACAACUGGGGAAGUCAGGAGGCUCACUGUAGGAACCCAUCAGGCUGCGAGAAGAAGUCACGCUGAAGCAGGAAGUGCGGGAUCCUGGAUG